CGGGUUUUAUGUGACCAACACCGAAUAAAACAAUUCUUCAUCUCCACCGUCUAAGAGAGCGUUGUUUCAUCUUCUUCCUAAAAAUCUUCAUUCAAUUUAUUUUCCCUUUUCACAAAGCGGUGGAUCUCAAGCUAUUAAAAGGCAGGCGUCGUUCCUUGACCAUCAUUCUUCACAAUUCUAUAUAGUCAUUAAAAGUUCUUCAUUAAAAAUCUUAAUUUUACAAGACAAUUAGGUCCGCUCGAUUUCUACUCCGGCCACCUUAUCUGAGAAACCGUCAAAUUUUGACGAGGAAUAGGGAAGGCAGAGGAAAUUGCAAGAACAGCGUUGUUGAUGUUGUUCGUGAGGAAGCUUUUGGGCAUCUACCAAUUUGCAAAAACAACCACGAGAAAAGGUUGCAGAUGAUGAUUGUACUCAAAGAAUGGCAUGGAUGCAUUUGAUAUACCCCUUCUUCUACCACAAGAUCCAUCUGAAGGUAAAGUAAUUAGCUUUAUGAUUUGAAUUGCUUCUCAGUGAUCUGUUUGUUGAGUGGUUAAUUUUUUUUGAAGAUUUAUGUCUUCUACAUCACCUCUAUUUGUGCUUAUGGUGGCAUGCGGUAUGAUCCCCACGACAAAAUAUCUGUGGAAUGGGAACCCACUGGUGCAUUUUACUUUGUUGUGCCUCAUGUUAUAUUACUGAGUUUGGUGGAAGCUCGAUGUUGGAUGCAACUCUUGCUUGGGACAAUGAACUUUCUUGGACGCUGGAGAAUGCUAUUGAAGCACUUUAGGAGACUAUGCUUCAGGUGUCUUCUGUUGUGAUGAGGUUAUGAAGGGGGUCUCUAGGAGUAUUUGUUCUUAGCAAGAAUCAUGUUCGACAAAAGGAACGUAUUACCCUGCUGUAGAGAAGGCUUUGUAGAUGAUUAAGCAAAACAGUUCAUCUCUUAGGCCUCAAACUGCUUCAACUGCGCGGGAUAUUGAGAUAGAAUGUGACUUACUAACCAGCAGCCCUAAAGAUGAUCUUGAGUUCUCUAUUGUACAAGAGAAUAUAUGAGACAAGUUAAACCUCAAUAUGUGACAAAAAACUGUGAGGAAGCUUGCAAGAUUGCAACACAUAUAUUCUCAAUUGGUGGGGAGGCUGAGGAGAGAAGUUGACGAGCUGUUUGCGGGCUUUCAGCAGAAGAAGCCAAUACUUUUGAUCAAGGAAAAGAGGUGAAAUAUCACCUGUUUUUGUGAUUUUUUAUUUGAUAUAUAUUUUUGAGAAUUGCCAUUUUUUCUUCUAUCCAUGUACUCUUGAGAAUUGAAUUGCCAUACUCAUUCGUUAUGAUCAAUAUAUGACCGGAUGAGAAUAUCUUUAAAAAAUAUAUUAAUAUCAAAAGCUUUAAACGGGUCAAUGGUUGUUUAAUGGUUACACUGAAAAAAAUAUUAAAAUAUUAAUAUCAAAAGCCUUUUACUCAUAUCACUACACCCAAUUUUAGCAAAAAAAUGAUAUUAUUUCACGAGGCUAAAUUAACAAGAUUAUAAGUUUACUUUGUAACUUAUUUGAAUGUCACAGUUACGAUUACAUGUCAUCCCUACACCACUGCAAUCGGAUGUGACACAUAUAUUUUACAAAUAGAUUAAAAUUUCAUUUUUAUAAUUUAAAAACAUUCACCGCUAUUCAGUUACAUUUUUUUUUAAUUUUGAUUAACUCAAAUAAUCAUCGCUUCCACUGCAAUAACAUGUAAAAAGAUUAUGAUUUCAACAUAAAAAAAAUUACUCUCGUAGCAUACACAAAAAAUUAUCUACAAUCCAAUUUUUCCGAACCCAAAAUAUUACAAACCACAAAUAACGCACCGAAUAUAGAAUGAAAUUUUUGUUAAAUAUCAUAAAGACCAUUUGAAGCCUAUACAACAUAUCAAUGCCAUAACUUUUUAAUACAGAAAACUAUUGUAAACAAUCAAAAUAUAUCUUAUCACAUAUAGUUCUUUCUUACUUAAAAUUUUUUUGAAAACAAAAUUAUUAUAACAUUUAUUGCAAAUGCAAUAAAUACAAACUACCAAAUCAUACAAAAAAAAUAAUAACAUAUAUCACAAAUAAAUUAUAUCCUGCACGUAGGGUGUACCGAUCCUAGUGGUCUAUUAAAAUCUAAGAUAAACUCUUAGUUUAAGUAAUAGUAUAAACUUUUAAUACUACUCAUUUUAAUUACAAAUACUACAAAGUUCCAUACAAAACUAAAAUAAAAAAAAAUAUUCAAAACCAAAUCUUAAACGAACUAUUGGGCCAAAACUUUUAUUGGGCCAGAAAGGGUCGCGAAAAAGCAGCGGAAACCAAAUCUCUCUCUCUCUCUCUCUCUCUCUCUCUCUCUCCUUCCCCUCCAAGGUGAAGUUUACGGCCGAUGAGCUUCGUAGGAUUAUGGAUUACGAAUAAAACAUCCGUAAGAUGUCCGUUAUUGCCCAUGUCGACCAUGGUAAAUCCACCCUGACAGACUCCUUGGUUGCUGCUGCUGGUAUCAUUGCGCAAGAAGUUGCUGGUGAUGUCCGUAUGACUGAUACUCGUGCUGACGAGGCUGAACGUGGCAUCACCAUCAAGUCCACGGGUAUUUCUCUCUACUACGAGAUGACCAAUGCUUCCUUGAAGAGCUUCACUGGCGCCAGAGAUGGGAACGAGUACCUGGACACCUAAUAAUGGACAGAGGAUUACAUUUGCUGAAGUCAUUGAAAACGAGUGGUUUAAUAAAGGGCAUAAGACCAUGAUUAACCUGAGUUUGUUAACUGCUGUUCUUAGCUUCUAGUUUUUAACUAACAAAAUCUAAUAACCAUCUCUUAUAAGACAUAUAAAAGCCUCCUCUUAUCCGAAAAGCGUAAAAAAAAAAAAAAAACAAUGUCAAAUCAUGAGUUAAAAAAUCCCGACUAAUACACCGGAGUUAAAACACACAAAUAUGAAAAUGCAAAUGUCAGCUUUGAUGAUGUUGAUGCAUUUUUUGAUGAAUCAGGGGUAAGGCUUGUGUUUCUUUUUUCGUUUAAUUUAUGAACUUUGUCUUGGAUGAUUGCCUAGAUUUGUUUUUGUUGGGUAAUAUAGGACUUAGAACACCAGUAACUAUGAAUGCUUUUGAGCUCAUCUCAACAUCCAAAGGUCUCAAUCUCGGUUCACUUUUUGAAAAGCAAAUGGGGCUUGUUAAACGGAAAACUCAGUUUACUUCAAAAUGUCCGGCUAAUGAGAUAGUCACAAAAAUAGAGGCUGCAGCAGGACCUAUGGGAUUUGAUGUCAAGAAAAAUAACUACAAAGUUUUCUGUU